CCUACGGGUGGCUGCAGUGGGGAAUAUUGGACAAUGGGCGAAAGCCUGAUCCAGCCAUGCCGCGUGUGUGAAGAAGGCCUUCGGGUUGUAAAGCACUUUCAGUGGGGAAGAAAGCCUUGGGGCUAAUACCCUCGAGGAAGGACAUCACCCACAGAAGAAGCACCGGCUAACUCCGUGCCAGCAGCCGCGGUAAUACGGAGGGUGCGGGCGUUAAUCGGAAUUACUGGGCGUAAAGCGCGCGUAGGCGGUCUGAUAAGCCGGUUGUGAAAGCCCCGGGCUCAACCUGGGAACGGCAUCCGGAACUGUCAGGCUAGAGUGCAGGAGAGGAAGGUAGAAUUCCCGGUGUAGCAGUGAAAUGCGUAGAGAUCGGGAGGAAUACCAGUGGCGAAGGCGGCCUUCUGGACUGACACUGACGCUGAGGUGCGAAAGCGUGGGAAGCAAACAGGAUUAGAUACCCGAGUAGUC
rnacentral:rRNA from 1 species